rnacentral:rRNA from 1 species
GACGAACGCUGGCGGCGUGCUUAACACAUGCAAGUCGAACGGAAAGGCCCUGCUUUUGUGGGGUGCUCGAGUGGCGAACGGGUGAGUAACACGUGAGUAACCUGCCCUUGACUUUGGGAUAUCUUCAGGAAACUGGGGCUAAUACCGGAUAGGAGCUCCUGCUGCAUGGUGGGGGUUGGAAAGUUUCGGCGGUUGGGGAUGGACUCGCGGCUUAUCAGCUUGUUGGUGGGGUAGUGGCUUACCAAGGCUUUGACGGGUAGCCGGCCUGAGAGGGUGACCGGCCACAUUGGGACUGAGAUACGGCCCAGACUCCUACGGGAGGCAGCAGUGGGGAAUAUUGCACAAUGGGCGGAAGCCUGACGCAGCAACGCCGCGUGCGGGAUGACGGCCUUCGGGUUGUAAACCGCUUUCGCCUGUGACGAAGCGUGAGUGACGGUAAUGGGUAAAGAAGCACCGGCUAACUACGUG